CCCUUAGAUGUUCUGGGCCGCACGCGCGUUACACUGAUGCAUUCAACGAGCUUAUAACCUUGGCCGAGAGGCCUGGGCAAUCUUGUUAACGUGCAUCGUGAUAGGGAUAGAUUAUUGAAAUUAUUAAUCUUGAACGAGGAAUUCCUAGUAAACGCAGAUCAUCAAUCUGCAUUGAUUACGUCCCUGCCCUUUGUACACACCGCCCGUCGCUCCUACCGAUUGAGUGGUCCGGUGAGGCUUUGGGAUCUGAGCGGAAAGAGCGUUUCGCUGUUUCUGCUCGGAAAACUCAGUCGAACCUUAUCAUUUAGAGGAAGGAGAAGUCGUAACA
rnacentral:rRNA from 1 species